AAACGGUACUCAGUUCGGAUUGAAGGCUGAAAUUCGCCUUCAUGAAGCUGGAAUUGCUAGUAAUGGCAGGUCAGCAUACUGCCGUGAAUACGUUCCCGGGCCUUGUACACACCGCCCGUCACACCAUGAGAGUUGGAAAUACCCGAAGCCUGUGAGCUAACUUUUAGAGGCAGCAGUCGAAGGUAGAGCCAAUGAUUGGGGUGAAGUCGUAACAAGGUAGC
rnacentral:rRNA from 1 species